GUGCUCACUUCAGCAGCACAUAUACUAAAACUGGAACGAUCGAUACAGAGAAGACUAGCAUGGCCCCAGUGCAAGGAUGACAAACAAAUUCAUGAAGCAUUCCAUAUUAAA
ensembl:snRNA U6 U6 spliceosomal RNA